UACAGAGGUCCCGAGCGUUGUUCGGAUUCAUUGGGCGUAAAGGGUGCGUAGGCGGCUUCCUAAGUUUGAUGUGAAAUCCUGGGGCUCAACCCUGGAACUGCAUUGAAUACUGGGAGGCUAGAGUACUGGAGAGGAAACUGGAAUUUACGGUGUAGCAGUGAAAUGCGCAGAUAUCGGGAGGAACACCGGUGGCGAAGGCGGUUCUCUGGGCCUUACCUGACGCUGAGGAGCGAAGGCCAGGGGAGCAAACGGG
rnacentral:rRNA from 1 species